CCUACGGGAGGCAGCAGUGGGGAAUCUUGCGCAAUGGGCGAAAGCCUGACGCAGCAACGCCGCGUGCGGGAAGAAGGCUUUCGGGCUGUAAACCGCUUUCAGCAGGAACGAAAAUGACGGUACCUGCAGAAGAAGGAGCGGCCAACUAUGUGCCAGCAGCCGCGGUGAUACAUAGGCUUCAAGCGUUGUCCGGAUUUAUUGGGCGUAAAGAGUUCGUAGGCGGUCGAGUAAGUCGGGUGUGAAAAUUCUGGGCUCAACCCAGAGACGCCACCCGAUACUGCUUGACUUGAGUUCGAUAGGGGAGUGGGGAAUUCCUAGUGUAGCGGUGAAAUGCGCAGAUAUUAGGAGGAACACCGGUGGCGAAGGCGCCACUCUGGAUCGAUACUGACGCUGAGGAACGAAAGCAUGGGUAGCAAACAGGAUUAGAUACCCUGGUAGUCCAUGCCGUAAACGGUGGGCACUAGGUGUGGGUUUCUAUUAACGAAAUCCGCGCCGUCGCUAACGCAUUAAGUGCCCCGCCUGGGGAUACGGUCGCAAGACUAAAACUCAAAUGAAUUGACGG
rnacentral:rRNA from 1 species